AUUGAACGCUGGCGGCAUGCCUUACACAUGCAAGUCGAACGGCAGCACGGGUGCUUGCACCUGGUGGCGAGUGGCGAACGGGUGAGUAAUACAUCGGAACAUGUCCUGUAGUGGGGGAUAGCCCGGCGAAAGCCGGAUUAAUACCGCAUACGAUCUACGGAUGAAAGCGGGGGACCUUCGGGUCUCGCGCUAUAGGGUUGGCCGAUGGCUGAUUAGCUAGUUGGUGGGGUAAAGGCCUACCAAGGCGACGAUCAGUAGCUGGUCUGAGAGGACGACCAGCCACACUGGGACUGAGACACGGCCCAGACUCCUAAGGGAGGCAGCAGUGGGGAAUUUUGGACAAUGGGCGAAAGCCUGAUCCAGCAAUGCCGCGUGUGUGAAGAAGGCCUUCGGGUUGUAAAGCACUUUUGUCCGGAAAGAAAUCCUUGGCUCUAAUACAGUCGGGGGAUGACGGUACCGGAAGAAUAAGCACCGGCUAACUACGUG
rnacentral:rRNA from 1 species